rnacentral:rRNA from 1 species
AAUUUUGGACAAUGGGGGAAACCCUGAUCCAGCCAUGCCGCGUGUAUGAUGAAGGCCUUCGGUUUGUAAAGUACUUUUUGUAGAGAAGAAAAGGUAUCUCCUAAUACGAGAAACUGUUGACGGUAUCUGCAGAUUAAGCAUCGGCUAACUACGUGCCAGCAGCCGCGGUAAUACGUAGGGUGCAAGCGUUAAUCGGAAUUACUGGGCGUAAAGCGUGUGUAGGCAGUUCGGAAAGAAAGAUGUGAAAUCCCAGGGCUCAACCUUGGAACUGCAUUUUUAACUGGCGAGCUAGAGUAUGUCAGAGGGGGGUAGAAAUCCACGUGUAGCAGUGAAAUGCGUAGAUAUGUGGAGGAAUACCGAUGGCGAAGGCAGCCCCCUGGGAUAAUACUGACGCUCAGACACGAAAGCGUGGGGAGCAAACA